rnacentral:rRNA from 1 species
CCUACGGGAGGCAGCAGUGAGGAAUAUUGGUCAAUGGGCUUACGCCUGAACCAGCCAAGUCGCGUGAGGGAAGACUGCCCUAUGGGUUGUAAACCUCUUUUGUCAGGGAGCAACGCCGGCUACGUGUAGCCGGACUGAGAGUACCUGAAGAAAAAGCAUCGGCUAACUCCGUGCCAGCAGCCGCGGUAAUACGGAGGAUGCGAGCGUUAUCCGGAUUUAUUGGGUUUAAAGGGUGCGUAGGCGGAAUGCCAAGUCAGCGGUAAAAUCGCGGGGCUCAACCUCGCUCCGCCGUUGAAACUGGCGGUCUUGAGUGGGCGAGAAGUAUGCGGAAUGCGUGGUGUAGCGGUGAAAUGCAUAGAUAUCACGCAGAACUCCGAUUGUGAAGGCAGCAUACCGGCGCCCAACUGACGCUGAAGCACGAAAGCGUGGGUAUCGAACAGGAUUAGAUACCCCUGUAGUC